rnacentral:RNase_P_RNA from 1 species
UCCUCUUCAACGCUGCGUUUCUAUGCUACAAACGGAGAGAUUUGCGCGCAAGCAAAAAUCUCUCAUCACUGGCAUAUGAGAAAUUCGGAGUAACUUCUUCACACCACUCACCCAAUGUCGCCUGCCUAGUACGGGAUAGACGGGUCUGCCCGCGAGGGCCUGACGUGACUUCACGUCUGCAAUUGGCAUCAGAAAAGCAGGGCCCGGGCCGCCCUCAUGCAUACCCGGAAUCCCCCUCGGGGGACGCCGGGGAAGAUGGGGGUUCUUGGACUCGGUGUCCCUAUGGGAGAGCCGUUGCGAAAAGAUUGUGCAGAGCACUUGAGUGCGAUACGCAGCGUCUGGACCCUGGCUGGCUUCGGCUGGUCAGGGGCUUGACAAUUCAAUUCCGAUCAUUCUGUUGAGGA